rnacentral:rRNA from 1 species
AUGGAAUAAUUGACCAUAGAGAGUGAUAGUCUCGUAUUCGAAAAUCGAAACCAUCAGAUUGUAUCCCAAGUAGCAUGGAGCACGUGGAAUUCCGUGUGAAUCUGCGAGGACCACCUCGUAAGGCUAAAUAUUCCUGAAUGACCGAUAGUGAACUAGUACCGUGAGGGAAAGGUGAAAAGAACCCCGGGAGGGGAGUGAAAAGAACAUGAAACCAUAAACUUACAAGCAGUAGGAGGACGACUAAAACGUCUGACUGCGUGCCUGUUGAAGAAUGAGCCGGCGACUUAUAGGUAGUGGCAGGUUAAGGUAGUGAAUACCGAAGCCAUAGUGAAAGCGAGCCUGAAUAGGGCGAUUGUCACUAGUUAUAGACCCGAACCCGGAUGAUCUAACCAUGGUCAGGUUGAAGCUUAGGUAAUACUAAGUGGAGGACCGAACCGACUGAUGUUGAAAAAUCAGCGGAUGAAUUGUGGUUAGGGGUGAAAUGCCAAUCGAAUUCGGAGCUAGCUGGUUCUCCCCGAAAUGCGUUUAGGCGCAGCGGUUAACGCUAUAGCUUAGGGGUAAAGCACUGUUUCGGUGCGGGCUGCUAACGCGGUACCAAAUCGAUGCAAACUCUGAAUACUAAGUGUGUAGUUAACCAGUAAGACUGUGGGGGAUAAGCUCCAUUGUCAAGAGGGAAACAGCCCAGACCACCAGCUAAGGCCCCCAAAUAAUUACUAAGUGGCAAAGGAUGUGGGAACACUGAGACAAUCAGGAGGUUCGCCUAGAAGCAGCUAUCCUUUAAAGAGUGC